GACGAACGCUGGCGGCGUGCUUAACACAUGCAAGUAGAACGAAGUGGCGAACGGGUGAGUAACGCGUAAUCAACCUGCCCUUCAGAGGGGGACAACAGUAGGAAACGACUGCUAAUAACGCAUCCUGAAGGAGGGGAGUGCGUCGGAUUAGCUAUUUGGAGUGGUAACGUCACACCAAGGCGAUGAUCAGUAGCUGGUCUGAGAGGAGGAACGGCCACAUGGGGACUGAGACACGUCCCAUACUACUACGGGUGGCAGCAGGGGGGAAUCUUCCGCAAUGGACGAAAGUCUGACGGAGCAACGCCGCGGGAGUGAUGACGGCCUUCGGGUUGUAAAGCUCUGUUAAUCGGGACGCGGUACCGGAAUAGAAAGCCACGGCUAACUACGUGCCAGCAGCCGCGGUAAUAC
rnacentral:rRNA from 1 species